UACGUAGGGUGCAAGCGUUAAUCGGAAUGACUGGGCGUAAAGGGUUCGUAGGUGGCUCGCUAAGUCAGACGUGAAAUCCCUCAGCUUAACUGGGGAACUGCGUCUGAGACUGGCAAGCUCGAGUGCAGGAGAGGAACGCGGAAUUCCAGGUGUAGCGGUGAAAUGCGUAGAUAUCUGGAGGAACACCGGUGGCGAAGGCGGCGUUCUGGACUGCAACUGACACUGAUGAACGAAAGCCAGGGGAGCAAACGGG
rnacentral:rRNA from 1 species